GAUGAACGCUAGCUACAGGCUUAACACAUGCAAGUCGAGGGGGCAUCAGGAAGAAAGCUUGCUUUCUUUGCUGGCGACCGGCGCACGGGUGAGUAACACGUAUCCAACCUGCCCUUUACUCGGGGAUAGCCUUUCGAAAGAAAGAUUAAUACCCGAUAGCAUAAUGAUUCCGCAUGGUUUCAUUAUUAAAGGAUUCCGGUAAAGGAUGGGGGAUGCGUCCCAUUAGGUUGUUGGUGAGGUAACGGCCCACCAAGCCUUCGAUGGAUAGGGGUUCUGAGAGGAAGGUCCCCCACAUUGGAACUGAGACACGGUCCAAACCCCUACGGGAGGCAGCAGUGAGGAAUAUUGGUCAAUGGGCGUUAGCCUGAACCAGCCAAGUAGCGUGAAGGAUGAAGGCUCUAUGGGUCGUAAACUUCUUUUAUAUAAGAAUAAAGUGCAGUAUGUAUACUGUUUUGUAUGUAUUAUAUAGAAUAAGGAUCGGCUAACUCCGUG
rnacentral:rRNA from 1 species